rnacentral:rRNA from 1 species
GGGAAACCCAACAUGAGUUAUGUCAUGUUAUCGAUAUGUGAAUACAUAGCAUAUCAGAAGGCACACCCGGAGAACUGAAACAUCUUAGUACCCGGAGGAAGAGAAAGAAAAAUCGAUUCCCUUAGUAGCGGCGAGCGAAACGGGAAGAGCCCAAACCAACAAGCUUGCUUGUUGGGGUUGUAGGACACUCUAUACGGAGUUACAAAGGACGACAUUAGACGAA